rnacentral:rRNA from 1 species
GUGACUGCGUACCUUUUGUAUAAUGGGUCAGCGACUUAUAUUCUGUAGCAAGGUUAACCGAAUAGGGGAGCCGGAGGGAAACCGAGUCUUAACCGGGCGUUAAGUUGCAGGGUAUAGACCCGAAACCCGGUGAUCUAGCCAUGGGCAGGUUGAAGGUUGGGUAACACUAACUGGAGGACCGAACCGACUAAUGUUGAAAAAUUAGCGGAUGACCUGUGGCUGGGGGUGAAAGGCCAAUCAAACCGGGAGAUAGCUGGUUCUCCCCGAAAGCUAUUUAGGUAGCGCCUCGUGAAUUCAUCUCCGGGGGUAGAGCACUGUUUCGGCUAGGGGGCCAUCCCGGCUUACCAACCCGAUGCAAACUGCGAAUACCGGAGAAUGUUAUCACGGGAGACACACGGCGGGUGCUAACGUCCGUCGUGAAGAGGGAAACAACCCAGACCGCCAGCUAAGGUCCCAAAGUCAUGGUUAAGUGGGAAACGAUGUGGGAAGGCCCAGACAGCCAGGAUGUUGGCUUAGAAGCAGCCAUCAUUUAAAGAAAGCGUAAUAGCUCACUGGUCGAGUCGGCCUGCGCGGAAGAUGUAACGGGGCUAAACCAUGCACCGAAGCUGCGGCAGCGACACUGUGUGUUGUUGGGUAGGGGAGCGUUCUGUAAGCCUGUGAAGGUGUGUCGUGAGGCAUGCUGGAGGUAUCAGAAGUGCGAAUGCUGACAUAAGUAACGAUAAAGCGGGUGAAAAGCCCGCUCGCCGGAAGACCAAGGGUUCCUGUCCAACGUUAAUCGGGGCAGGGUGAGUCGACCCCUAAGGCGAGGCCGAAAGGCGUAGUCGAUGGGAAACGGGUUAAUAUUCCCGUACUUGGUGUUACUGCGAAGGGGGGACGGAGAAGGCUAUGUUGGCCGGGCGACGGUUGUCCCGGUUUAAGCGUGUAGGUGUGUGUUCCAGGUAAAUCCGGUUCACUUUAACACUGAGGCGUGACGACGAGGCACUACGGUGCUGAAGCAACAAAUGCCCUGCUUCCAGGAAAAGCCUCUAAGCAUCAGGUAACAUCAAAUCGUACCCCAAACCGACACAGGUGGUCAGGUAGAGAAUACCAAGGCGCUUGAGAGAACUCGGGUGAAGGAACUAGGCAAAAUGGUGCCGUAACUUCGGGAGAAGGCACGCUGACACGUAGGUGAAGUGAUUUACUCAUGGAGCUGAAGUCAGUCGAAGAUACCAGCUGGCUGCAACUGUUUAUUAAAAACACAGCACUGUGCAAACACGAAAGUGGACGUAUACGGUGUGACGCCUGCCCGGUGCCGGAAGGUUAAUUGAUGGGGUCAGCGCAAGCGAAGCUCCUGAUCGAAGCCCCGGUAAACGGCGGCCGUAACUAUAACGGUCCUAAGGUAGCGAAAUUCCUUGUCGGGUAAGUUCCGACCUGCACGAAUGGCGUAAUGAUGGCCAGGCUGUCUCCACCCGAGACUCAGUGAAAUUGAACUCGCUGUGAAGAUGCAGUGUACCCGCGGCAAGACGGAAAGACCCCGUGAACCUUUACUAUAGCUUGACACUGAACAUUGAGCCUUGAUGUGUAGGAUAGGUGGGAGGCUUUGAAGUGUGGACGCCAGUCUGCAUGGAGCCGACCUUGAAAUACCACCCUUUAAUGUUUGAUGUUCUAACGUGGACCCGUUACCCGGGUUGCGGACAGUGUCUGGUGGGUAGUUUGACUGGGGCGGUCUCCUCCUAAAGAGUAACGGAGGAGCACGAAGGUUGGCUAAUCCUGGUCGGACAUCAGGAGGUUAGUGCAAUGGCAUAAGCCAGCUUGACUGCGAGCGUGACGGCGCGAGCAGGUGCGAAAGCAGGUCAUAGUGAUCCGGUGGUUCUGAAUGGAAGGGCCAUCGCUCAACGGAUAAAAGGUACUCCGGGGAUAACAGGCUGAUACCGCCCAAGAGUUCAUAUCGACGGCGGUGUUUGGCACCUCGAUGUCGGCUCAUCACAUCCUGGGGCUGAAGUAGGUCCCAAGGGUAUGGCUGUUCGCCAUUUAAAGUGGUACGCGAGCUGGGUUUAGAACGUCGUGAGACAGUUCGGUCCCUAUCUGCCGUGGGCGCUGGAGAACUGAGGGGGGCUGCUCCUAGUACGAGAGGACCGGAGUGGACGCAUCACUGGUGUUCGGGUUGUCAUGCCAAUGGCACUGCCCGGUAGCUAAAUGCGGAAGAGAUAAGUGCUGAAAGCAUCUAAGCACGAAACUUGCCCCGAGAUGAGUUCUCCCUGAGACUUUAGGUCUCCUGAAGGAACGUUGAAGACGACGACGUUGAUAGGCCGGGUGUGUAAGCGCAGCGAUGCGUUGAGCUAACCGGUACUAAUGAACCGUGAGGCUUAACCUUACAACGCCGAAG